AUUAAAGAAUAUGAAAAUUAGAUCUCUGUUGAUCUGAGGUUAAAAUUCUGGAUCAUGUAAGUACCUAACUUAUUACAGCUACUUUGAUAUACUCGGAGCAAAGCUUUUAAGUUUACCUGCUAGCCUUUCACUCCUUUGUUUACGGUUGUGUUGAUAGUUCUAGGAGAACAUCCAGCUGUAAACAACUAUUGCUCUAAUGCAAAAAAAAAGAAAAAACUAUCUUUACACUCAUCACUCUACACACCAGUCAUUAUGAUGGAUUGUAUAUAGUAUACCAGAUCCGACUGAAGUAUGGCAUAUACUGCCAAACAUUCAAAUGACCAAAAUUUUAAUCUAAUCUAUGCUAGCAUUGAUAAAUUAAUGCUGUAAAAUCCUUAGCUCUUUGAGGAAUAUUGUCCAUAUCUAUCUAGAGAAGCAAUGAAAACUACACAGUGGUGUGCUCUCUAAGCAGUAUCCAGUAAUAGAUGCAGUGCAUUAGAAUAUUUGGAAAUAUCUUCUAUUAAAACCUUGAUAACUAUCUUCUCUAACUUCCCAUUACAAAGUAAGUUGUUGCCUUUAACUUUAUUAAACUUGACAUUAGUAUUUUAUAUUUCUUUUGACCAUUGUUUGAUAGCUAUAAUCGUUGGUUGCCAUUUAACCAUGACAUAUUUGUAUGUAUAUAUAUAUAUGUGUGUAUGCAUUACCAUCAUCAUUUAAUGUCAUCAUUCAAGCACAGUAGUGGUUGAAUAAUAUUCUUAACGUAGUUUUUUUGUUGCAGUCCACGUCUUCCAAGCAGUCUCACUAAUUCAGUUUUAAUUGAAAUCAAAUUUAGUUUUUUGAAUUAUGUUUGACUCGUCAUAAGCUACAUUUAAACAUAAAAUACUUAAAAUCUGGUGCAGUAGAACAACAGUUAAGAGAAAAAUUGUAUAGACAAAACUGGUUGACUGAUGGGUAGUAAUGCCCAACAUCGACACUUUGAAUCCACAUCAUUCUUUUAAUUUUGAUUAAGAAUUUUACCGGUGAGUGUGUUAAAUUAUAAGGCACAAAAAGAAAAUGACUCUCCCCAGACACAACAGAAUAUGCUUCAACACACGAACUCAUAUAAAGAAUCUUGCAAACCAAAUCCCAAAACGAAAUAUGAUUAAGAAUUAUUAUAUUAAUAUUAAUAUGAAAGAGAAAUGUUAAAGGAAUAUAUUGGUAAAGGUUUGUUUAUAGUCUUAGCAUAUGACAAAUGGACAAGGAACUGGGUUCUCUCCAAGGUGAAUGGCAAGUUAGGCUUUGCUUGGAGCCAGCUUUAUUCUGGAGAUGAGGACACAACUGCCAAUUAGUGAGCUGUCAAUCAAGUAAGCCUCGAUUCAGUGUUGAUGCAUGGCCACCACUUCCAGUCUUGUACUAUUGUAGAGUCCAUUCUGGAUAGAAAUAUUAUGAAGAAGCAUUACUAUUGAGCCAGGUUUUAAACUCAAUUAAUGAGGAGGGAUUCCUGAUGGUGUCAAAGAGUUUAGAAAUUCAAGUGGAUAGCGCUCAGUCUCAGUAGGAUCAUUUGUCAAAACUUUACCUAUAUUAUAAUAGGUGUGGCAGUCAGCUGGAAGUUGUCUCAAAACUUCUUCAUUGAUCAGGAGGCAGUCUGAGUUCUUUGAUGAAAGAAUUACUCUGCUUCUUCUCUCUUCCUCAGAUGUUGAAGAUAUCAUCCAUUAUGCACUCGUAAAAAAAAAAUUCCUCCACAUUUUGAGUAACAUUUGAUUUCAAUGUCAAAAUUUGUUUCAUUAGAUAUAUAGAUAAAAAUCCCAUCCCUGAUUUACAGUUUACACAUAUCUAUACAUGUAUGUAUAGAUGCACAUACAGGAUGUCACAUAUUCACACACACUCACUUUCUAUCACUACUCUCUCUCUCCCUCUCACUACCUCUUUGUCCCUCCUCAGUAUCGAAAAGUAAAAGUAACAUCAAAAAUUUGCUGUGGUUAUUUCUCUUUGAUUCAACGAUCUGUCAAUGUAUUUAUCUAUCUACUUGUGUUCCAUAUAGAUAUGUGUCUAUCUAUAAACACACAGAAAAUGUCACACCUUCACACACACACACACACUUUCUCCCACCACUGUCUCUCCCUCUCCAUCUGACUCUGACUCUUUCUCUUUCACUACCUCGCUGUUCCUCCGCUUAUAUAUUAUAUGAAGAGUGUAACAGUUGGACGAACUAACUAAAGAAGGAACAUUACCAUGACAACUGCACAUUGUAUCUGGUUGUGUGCACCCUCGAAAAGAAACCUCCACAUUUUAAGUAACAUUUUAUUUCAAUUUCAAAAUUCAUCAUCAUUUAGCGUCCGCUUUCCAUGCUAGCAUGGGUUGGAUGGUUCAACUGGGGUCUGGGAAGCCAGAAGGCUGCACCAGGCCCAGUCUGAUCUGGCAAUGUUUCUACAGCUGGAUGCCCUUCCUAACGCCAACCACUCCGUGAGUGUAGUGGGUGCUUUUUACGUGCCUCCGGCACAGGUACCAGACGGGGCUGGCAAACGGCCACGGUCAGAUGGUGCUUUUUACGUGCCACCGGCAUAUUUUUCCACAGCAGAUUACUUUUGAAUAAUAUUUGAUUUCAACUUCAAAAUUUGUUUCAUUAGAUAUAUAGAUAAAAAUCCCAUCCCCAAUUUACAGUUUACACAUAUCUAUACACGUAUGUAUAGGUGCGCACACACACACUUUCUGUCACUACUCUCUCUCUCUCUCACUACCUCUUUGUCCUUCCUCUAUAUUGAAAAGUAAAAGUAACAUUGAAAAUUUACUGUGGUUAUUUCUCUUUGAUUUAACAAUCUGCUGAUGUAUUUAUCUAUCCACUUGUAUUCCGUAUAGAUAUGUGUCUAUCUAUCUAUAAACACACAGAAUGUCACACAUUCACAGACACUAUCACCACUAUCUCUCCCUCUGACUCAUUCUCUCUCACUACCUCUCUGUUCCUCCUCUUAUAUAUUAUAUGAAGAACGUUACGGACGGACAAACUAGCUAAGGAAGGAAUAAGCAGAUUAUAAUAUGGUUCAAUAUUUUAUUUAUUUAAAAUAAAGUCAUUAAAUUUGUAUCCUCAUUUUUUUUUUUUCAUUUUAAAAAUUCUUUAAAUAUAUUCAUUUGUAACUUCAUCUCUGUACAGUACCGAAAUUUUAUUAAUAUGAAAGAGAAAUGUUAAAGGAAUAUAUUGGUAAAGGUUUCGUAAUAUUUUAUCCAUUAGCAAAAUAGAUAUUUAAUUUUUAAUUCUCAAACUUUUAUCAAUUUUUGCUAAUUCAUUUUAUAGUAAAUAGAAUAUGAUCAUGUGUAGCAUUGUCUCUAUGAGCAGUGCUGAAGUCUGUAGUAUGUUCAGAAAAAGUAAAUGCCACUUGUUAUUAUAUUCUAUUCAAUAUUAAUUUAUUUAAGAUAAAGUUAUUUUCUUAAAUUUGUAUCCUCAUAAUUUCUAAAUGAGAAUUAGUAAAAUGGAAAAAUCAAAAUUUUGUUUGAAUUUUCUUGAAAAUUUUUGUAUUCAAAAUGACUGUUAAAAAUUGUAACAGUAUUCUUAAUUAAACCUGGAAAAGUAGAGGACAAGAAAAAAACUCAUUAAAAAUAGAGCUUAAAUAUUGCUGCUAAAAUUAAAUUUUAUAUAUAUGUUUUUUACUAAGUAAGUAGUCUAUGGUUUAAGAUAAAAAUACCUUGUAGGUACUUUUUCAUAUUUUUUAAAAAUUCAAUUAAUUUCACUUUUCCUUUUUUAAUUUAGUUUUAAUUUUUUGUACUAAAUGAAUUAGUAAACAGUAUAAAAUUUUAAUUUUAGUAACAAAUUUUAGUUGAACAACAACUGAACAUUUUAAAGGUAUCUGAAAUUAGUUUUCAGUUCUGAUGACAUCAUGGCUCUUUAACAACAAUCAAACUAAUGUUUGAUAGUUAAAAUUGAUGGAAUAAUUAAAAGGUGAAUAGAGUUUCAGAAAGCCUUUUCUUCUAAGCAACUGUAUAAAAGCCCUUACUAUUUCACUUAAAUUUAAGCUAUAUGUGAAAAUUGGUUUUGGUACUUGAUGAAGUAUCUUUAGAUUAAUAUAAAGACUGGAUUUAGUAUUUGAUAACAUGGACAAUACCAUGCUAUAAUUUGGUACACUAAAGAAAGCAGAUUCAAACAUUAAAACAAAUAUCGCUAACAGCUUGGUUUUUCUUAAACAGGAAUAUGAAUGAUUAAAAGGCCUAUUACCUUUUAAAUUUUUAAUUCCAGUUUUUCAUUAUUUUGUCUUUAGAAUCUCAAUACUUCUGUAAUUCUAAGAUUGUUAUUAAAUACAUUAGUGCAGAUCAUAAAGUUAACCGUCAUUUAAGAUGUAAGAGAGGGUAACCAAGAAAAUGUUUUCUUUAUAGAAAGACUGGUAAUUCUAUGGUAAUGAAAGUAAUAACUUAGUUGAAUACACUGUUAGAUGUGCAAUGUAAACCUGAAGGAGAUACAGUAAAUAUGGUUGUUGUGGAAAAGUAACUGAGUUUUAGGGAAUUCUCUUGUAGAUUAUAAAGAUAGCCGAUAUGGGUGUGUGUAAUGGGUACACAGAAUCAACUUUGGAUAGGGUAUUUAAAUCAACUUGUAAGACUUGAUAGAUAACAGGAAAAGAUUGACUAAUAACCAGAAUGUUGUUUAUCAUAUAUAUAUUCCCUGAAUUAAAUAACAUUGUGAACUUGUGGAUUUCUUGGAUGAGUUAGUGGAGUUUUGUUAUCUAAGUAGCAAUUGUAGUGAAUUUAAUGAAUAUAUUGGUUAAGUUUUGAAGAGCGUAAAACGAAAGAUCUUUUAGCUCGUUUCUCAAGAAAAGACAACUAUUUGUUGUAUAAUGUUUUUGAAUGUACAGUACAAGUAAAAUGAAAAAAAGCACUCAGCAUCAUAAGUGUCAUUUAGUAAUGAAAGAUUGAUGUAAAUUUGGACAAAUGUAUAGGAAUGAUGCAUGCUGGCAUUAAAAUGUUCUUUAGUUAUUGCAUGAGAGUGCUUUCAGAUGUAGACAAUGGAAAGUUUGGGAAGUAGUCAAAUCAUUCUUUAAAUAUUGAGUUUCGCAAAUGGCAUCAUAAAAUUAACAUGUUGUAUAUUGAUCACUCCAGCAUUACCCAAGGCAAUGUGGAAAAACAAGUCCUAACAGAUGAUGGUGCUUCAAAAUUACAAAGUAAGUAUUCUAACAAAUUUUUUGGUUUGCAAAGAUGGC
rnacentral:lncRNA from 1 species